UGGGGAAUAUUGCACAAUGGGCGCAAGCCUGAUGCAGCCAUGCCGCGUGUAUGAAGAAGGCCUUCGGGUUGUAAAGUACUUUCAGUCGGGAGGAAGGUGGUAAGGUUAAUAACCUUAUCAAUUGACGUUACCGACAGAAGAAGCACCGGCUAACUCCGUGCCAGCAGCCGCGGUAAUACGGAGGGUGCAAGCGUUAAUCGGAAUUACUGGGCGUAAAGCGCACGCAGGCGGUUGAUUGAGUCAGAUGUGAAAUCCCCGGGCUUAACCCGGGAAUUGCAUCAGAUACUGGUCAGCUAGAGUCUUGUAGAGGGGGGUAGAAUUCCAUGUGUAGCGGUGAAAUGCGUAGAGAUGUGGAGGAAUACCGGUGGCGAAGGCGGCCCCCUGGACAAAGACUGACGCUCAGGUGCGAAAGCGUGGGGAGCAAACAGG
rnacentral:rRNA from 1 species